rnacentral:rRNA from 1 species
UACAGAGGUCCCAAGCGUUGUUCGGAUUUAUUGGGCGUAAAGGGUGCGUAGGCGGCGGAGUAAGUUGGGUGUGAAAUCCCGGGGCUCAACCUCGGAAUUGCAUUCAAUACUGCUUCGCUCGAGUACUGGAGAGGAGGCUGGAAUUUACGGUGUAGCAGUGAAAUGCGUAGAGAUCAUGAGGAAGACCAGUGGCGAAGGCGGGUCUCUGGACAGUUCCUGACACUGAGACACGAAGGCCAGGGGGAGCAAAACGGGG